CUUUCCCACAGAGUGGGGAGCUCCUUGAUGACAGACACCAGUCCCCAGAGCUGCGUGGGGCACACAGUAGAGACUCAGCAAAAUCAGAGUGAGUGGAUGACCUCUGGGGCCCUUGGACUCCCACUCUGCACCUCAGCGUCCACAUCUGUAACAGCUGGUUGGGCCAGCUGAGUUCCCAGAGGCCUUUGCGGCUGGGAUUCUCCAGGACUCUGGAAUCCCGCCACUGUCCCCGACACCCUGGCCAAGCAUACAUCCACGCCUCAGUUUCCCCACUGAACUGCAGCAUUUUAACAAAGGCACUCGUCUCCCAGCAAAUGCCCAGGACCCCUGGAAGGCCACCCAAAGGUGGAGAAACUGAGGCACGGAGCCUUUAAGAAAUUUGCUCAGAGUCACACAGCAGAUCCAAACCAGGGACUUCCAUUUCUGACCACAGUGGGAGAACAGGGACUAGAUUUACCUUCUUACCUGAAACAACCAAGAAACUAGACAAAAGAUCUGAAACAAUUGUUGCAAGAUAUGAGAUCAGGAAAUGAACAACAAUGAUCCCUAAGAAACAGGAUACAAGCUGAGAGCAACCUGACUCUAAGGACUGCCUAAGAUUCAUCUUUGCAUCCUGCACAGUGCCUCCCACACUGUCUUAUACUUAUAAGGCUCCUGAUAAAUAUUUGUUAGGGUUAAUGCAGACAUGGAAUGAAAAUGAAAAUUUGAUCUAUGCCUGCCUGUACUAUGGUGGACCACUUCAAAGACACUCCCACCAACACCCCCAAAUUGCUUUGCCUUCUGGAGUCAGCAGCAUAUGCCCAACCCAGACCUACUCCAGGAUGAAUCAAGACUAAGCUUCUGCUCUGAGGCCUCUGGAAUGGGGAAAGAAGAUUG